GUAGGGAUAUUUGCAUCAUGUACCAUGUGAUCACCGAGACCCCUUUGAACCUUCCUGCUUUAAUGUUUGAGGCCAUGAGGAAGAUCCUGAAUAGGUCUAAGGCUUACUUGCCUUAUGGUAUGGCACUCACCCUGGUCUUUAGGAGGUUCAGAGUCAGUUUUGAGGGGGAAGCAGUUGUCAGAUUAUCUUAUUUUGACACCAUCAACCGCCACACACUGCACC
rnacentral:lncRNA from 1 species